AUUGAGCGCUGGCGGCAGGCCUAACACAUGCAAGUCGAACGGUAACAGAAAGCAGCUUGCUGCUUUGCUGACGAGUGGCGGACGGGUGAGUAAUGUCUGGGAAACUGCCUGAUGGAGGGGGAUAACUACUGGAAAAGGUAGCUAAUACCGCAUAACGUCGCAAGACCAAAGAGGGGGACCUUCGGGCCUCUUGCCAUCGGAUGUGCCCAGAUGGGAUUAGCUAGUAGGUGGGGUAACGGCUCACCUAGGCGACGAUCCCUAGCUGGUCUGAGAGGAUGACCAGCCACACUGGAACUGAGACACGGUCCAGACUCCUACGGGAGGCAGCAGUGGGGAAUAUUGCACAAUGGGCGCAAGCCUGAUGCAGCCAUGCCGCGUGUAUGAAGAAGGCCUUCGGGUUGUAAAGUACUUUCAGCGGGGAGGAAGGGAGUAAAGUUAAUACCUUGGCUCAUUGACGUUACCCGAAGAAGAAGCACCGGCUAACUCCGUG
rnacentral:rRNA from 1 species